rnacentral:snoRNA from 1 species
CACCCUGGCAAUGGGCAAAGAGACACCAGACUGGUGGUGUUACUCUCAUAGCAGUCAGGGGCAAAACAGAAGAUAGUACUCUGUUCAUUCUAUCUUGAUGUCUGUGUUGGUGGCUACAGAUAUGUCAUGCCUAGGGCACAUUA